GACGAACGCUGGCGGCGUGCCUAAUACAUGCAAGUCGAGCGAAUUUAUGGGAGCUUGCUCCCGUAAAUUAGCGGCGGACGGGUGAGUAACACGUGGGCAACCUGCCUAUAAGACUGGGAUAACUUCGGGAAACCGAGCUAAUACCGGAUAAUUCCUUUCCUCACAUGGGGGAAGGACUGAAAGAUGGUUUACGCUAUCACUUAUAGAUGGGCCCGCGGCGCAUUAGCUAGUUGGNGAGGUAACGGCUCACCAAGGC
rnacentral:rRNA from 1 species